GUUGCUUCAAAAAGGAUAGCACUACCCAGUUUUGUACGGCCCGCAUGCGAACUGACUCUUGUCAACCCUAGAAAUCUUACGGUUCUAAUCACGCAAAGGAGCCUACAGAAACAGAUCACACACAAAUAAUACCUUUAAAAUAUCUUACAUGCACGGUUAAGAACUUGUAGCACUAUAAAUCACACUCCUGUUGAGUGUUGACGACCAUGGAAUCUUACAACCGUUCUCACCCACAGAAUGUACCGCUAUCUUUGUCGUGUACUACAUCUGUCAAACAAUAGUUUUCCGCGCAAAAAAUAAUAAAUGUUAACUCUCUGUUAAAAUACAAAUUAAGAGGAAUAAGUAGAGAGCAUGACGGAAAAACCUUAGAGAUUAGAUGACUAACUUCCAGUAGUCAAGAGAACAACCCAUUGCGUUUCUUAAGUAGGUAGCUGCACACGGUUUUACAUGGUAGGUUGAUAGGGAUAAAC
rnacentral:lncRNA from 1 species